GUCCACGGCCAUACCUGUUUGAAUGCUCCUGAUCUCGUCUGAUCUCACAGAAGUAUAGAAUGUCAAAUUAUGCUGGGCAUCCUUCCCUUUUUUAAAGGGUUCAGACAGCCGUGAACC
rnacentral:rRNA from 14 species